AGCUCAAUGUAGAGUGCUUGCCUACCAUGCAUGAGACCCUGGGUUCAAUACCCAG
rnacentral:tRNA from 1 species